CAGCGCUCCCUCGUAAUAAUAUAAAUAAUAAUCAUACACGGAGACAAAAUGAAAGCAAUAAUGAUAAAACGGAGCCCAAGAGCUAUAGCUCAAUCCCAAACACACACACACACUGAGGGCAGUAAACUAGGAAGUAAACACAGAUGCCAGCACGUGUUUCCCUAGCAACCGCAGAGGUGAGGGGAGAGACAGGCAGAGAGAGAGAGAGAGAGAGAGAGAGAGAGAGUCAGAUUGUCCUAUUAUUAUCGUCUCUCAUCACUUAGUACUGAUGCUUCAGUUUUGAAUGUCUGAAGAAUCUCUCUCUCUCUCUCUCUCUCUCUCUCUCUCUCUCUCUCUCUCUCUCAAGAGAGUUGUUUUCACUUGUGCAACUGAUAUCUGUGGACGUCAUUUUAUUGUUCAUGUAAAUAUGGUGUUGUUAACUCGAGAAAAAUAACCCCUGUGGAUCUAUCUCUUCCCCGUGUAUAGAAUAACAACUUUCUAUUCCCGUUUCUGAAAUUGGACUUUUCAGAUUAUUUUCCGUGUCUUGGUUAAUUAUUAGGGUUUAUGAAGACACGUAAUACGGAAAAACCUCAUGUUUGGUCAACGUUUCGCUCUGUGUAAAGCUUUACUAAGAGCGAAACGUUGGAAAUGUUUCCUUACGUCUGUUGCCCCUGUUCACCUAGCAGCAAGUAGGUACGUGGGUGUUAGUCGACUGCUGUGUGUCGCAUCCUGGGGAAAAGGGCUAAAAGGCCCCCAACAUAAAUAAGCCUCGCUGGCUUUCCUUGGGUUAUCCUGGGUUAGUGUGAGGGGUGGUAGGGAGGGGAAAAGGGAGGGAGGUUGAAAAACACGCAAGUAUUGUUCUUAAGCCUUUUUUUCCAGACAUUAAGACAUUCCUGGCAGUUUUUAAGACGCUAAUUGACAGGGCCAGAGUGAGCGUAGAUAGCGCCAUCUGUUGGGCAUGUUUGUAGUAACAGGUGUCCACCGUAGUUGCAGGUCUCACUUCCUCUUAGUAUUACCUCGAAUGAGUGUUUGUUUUGAGUGAGGGUUGGUGGCCAUUUCACGCACAUCGUCUCCUAGCAUUAUCAGGUUUAUCUGUUUGUGGGUGAAAGGAGAUAAACUCUUUAUUUGUCACGUUUCGGUAUUGGGACCUUGGUCAUCACGUGGACGAAACGUCUCCAGUACAGAAUCGCAUUAUACUGCAUCUAUCUCCCUUUUCCCCAGACUGUCGUACCAUAUCUUAUCUAGCAAGAUCCUAGUACAAGACAAUUAUAUUACAUGUGUAGUGAGUGAACUCGUGAUGUUUUCUGUGUUUCCUGCAACUUUGUAAAUGUUAAUUCCCAGUUCUGUAUCUUGUAUCAUUUUUAAUCAUAUUAUUGAUAUUUCUUUGAACAAAUUCACUCUUACUGUAAUCUUUAAAGUAAAAUAUUACCAUUGAGUAAUUUGUGAUGCCUAAUUGAAAUUAAUAGUGUUCAAACCAGUUAUCUCCUGGUGUUUUAAUAGUCUUUCUAAGCUAUAUUUUCUCUGUGUACAAUUUUUAUUGAUACAUUGACUAAUUCUGCAAAUUAUUUUAAUUGUGAAAUUUGUCAUGCAGUGAUUAUUCUUCUUUUCAUAAUUUUUAUACUGUUAUUCUUGUGCUCUAUUAUGUUCAGUAACUGAUAAUCAUUUCUUAAAGACUGACAUGUGUCACAUGUGUCUAAUUUAUCAACCAUUCAUCUACAUUAUAAAUCAUUGUAAUAUUUUCAAUAUAUUUAUUUGUGUAUAUCAUUGCAUAAUAUUUUUUUAUUUUUGUGGCAUCUUUACAAAAGUUGUUUUCCCAGCAUAUUUCCAAUUGCAUACAAUUUAUUGAUCUUAUUUUUGCAUUGAUCUACAGUUUUAUCAUAUUUCUUUAUUGAAUUGAGAGUAAAGACAGCUCACUUUUGAAAUUAAUUCAGAUUACAUUAAUAUUUUCCCUUUCUUGAAUUUUCAAAGUAUUUCCUUAUCUUUGCCAAGUAAAUUUCAGUGAGUUUUCUCAUUCAGUCUGUCUUAUAGAUUUUUAUUUUCUAAUGUAUAGUUAAGCAUCUUUAAUUUCAAUUUAAGCAAACUUCGCUUCAUCGGCUUUGUGUAAUUUCUCUGAAAUCAUAUCACAACUACCCUUGAGCCAUGCUAGCAAUGACUUAGUGAAAACAUCAGUCAGGCCAGUGUUGUACCUGUACCUAGCUGUAUGUCAA